UCAAAGCUGGAGUGAGAUCCCUCUCGCAGAGAAAGGCAGAUCGCUGCCAAGCAUCUGGAAACGGAACCCAGAGAAAAUCCAAUUAAAAAUCAGGUGGUGCUGCAAUUGGAACAAGCUACGAAGUGAUGGAUUAUUCAUUUCAGCACGUCUUGAGGCCAAGAGAAGGGAGAAUCUACUGGAUCCUUCCAGCACUGUACCUGCUGUGAUGUACACUCCUACCCAGGCUCUGCGAGCCAGCUGAGUUCAUGGCAAAGGCAUGGCCAAGAGGUUGCCCAGUGCAAGGUUCCCAUCCAUCACUGCAGGACGACCCACAAGCCCUGCUAGAGUCCCCAGGUUUCCUUCAGCCCCAGCUCUGGGCUGCGUGGAGCCUUGGCACCAUCCUCCCGUCGUUCUGGCCACCACGCUCAGAUCUCUUGGCUUACUGCCGGCUUCUGCAAUAUCUUCAUUGGCAGUGUCCGUGCAGGGGUUCUCUCCUCUCAUUUCCUCUCCGAUCUCACGAGCACAUCCCUCCCUCCUCUGGCAGCUCAGUGCAAUGGGUCCCUUCCUGUAUUUUUUAGCUGUUUCCACUCAAAUCCUGAUAGCAGUGGGAAGCCACUGCUCACCUGCAUGUGGCCAAGCCAGUGCCAACCACUCCAGUCUGAAGUAGCCAUGGAUGCCAUUGCCACCUUUUGUAGCCAAGGAAAGACCAUGGCUUUGCAGGGUUAGAACCAUCAGGAAGCACUUGAGUCCUCCCCGGAUUGCAAGACACUUGGGGUACAACACAAGACCAAUGGACACAUUGCGUUGUGCCAGCUUGGCUGGGCAGCCCCAGGUCACAGGAGAUGGUGAUGGCAGAGCAACCGGGUGCUAAAAGUCUCCUGGGAAGAAAAUGUUAAGCAAAAAAAAAAAAAAAAAAAAAAAGUAAAAAUAAAAAAGACCAUAGUGGUAGAAUUGCUGUUGACAGGUACUGGUGUAAUUAACAUGAGCAAGUGCAUUCCAGGAGAUUAGUUAUAUUAAAGCACAGUUGCAUGCCCACAGAGAGGAGGUGGCACCCUCAAUUAGUGUCAGAAACUGGAAAGCACAGACCAGCUCUGAUUGCCUCCGCCGUGGUGGAAAUCUGCUGAAACCUGGAAUCCCCCAACUGCAGCCACACGGAAACAGGGCUCAGGGCUCCUUGGUUGUGAUUCCAACGAUCUGAAUAUUUUGACACUUCUCAAGGAGUAAGCUGUGAAAAGGUAUGAAAGGGAAAAGGAAACAAUCAGCAGUAAAAGGCAAGCAGCUGAAAGCCUGUGAAAAUAGCAACACUGAGCCUCAGUCCAGAGCCUUAAAUACAAAAUGAGAUUAAAAGGAAAAAAAAAAAAAACCCAACAAAGAAAAUAAAAAGAAGUCAGAUAAAUUCAAGGGAGAACUUUCAUUUCUUUUCCUCUCCUUUUUGCCCAGCCCUUCAGACAGGCACCGCUCCUCAGCACUGCAGAGCAACAGGAGGGGAUGAAGAGCCCCAGGAGCCCCCAAGACCUGCAGGAACGCUCUUUCCUUCUCCCAUUCCCUUUAUUUUUGCCAUUCCAGUGUUUCUCAGAGUCUCAGUGAUCCACAGAGAGAACAGCCAGGCACUCCUUGCUUGAGAGUCAGAGAAUUGAGCACAGCUGAUGGGCUUUCAGGUGUCCCUCCAGCAUGAUGAUCAGCAAACUGCUCCCAGGGGUAACAUGAGCAGGUGUCCCUGGGACAGCUUGAUUGCUCAGGAGUUGGGGACUUAUGGGGACUUAGCUAAAAUUCUUUUCUCAGACCUUGGGUGGAGUUGGUUGCGCUGAACGUUCCUCCCCUCGCAUCAAUCAUUGAUGAGUUGGUGUAAACAAGAGAUCUGAGCGUUGAUUUCAUCAAAGGGAAGAAGAAUCACUCUAAUUUUUGUGGGUUGGAUAUCACCUGAUCAUAGAACCCUUCAACCAUAGAAUCAUUAAGGUCAGAAAAGCCCUCUCAGAUCACCAAGCUCAACCCCACCCCACCAUGCCCACUGAUGGUGUUCCUCAGUGCCACAUCUCCCCAUUUCUGGAACACCUUCAGGGAUGGUGACCCCAUCACUUUCCUAAUAUUCAACCUGAAUGAUGCUGAGACCACUGCAGAAACUGCUGCCUGAAGCCUGCCCUCCUGCACAUCCUCAUCUCACAGCUCCUUCUGGUCCAGCCUCUGUCCCUGGGUACACAAAGCCCUCCUCCAGCCCACCAGCCCUACCAGGCUCCAGGGAUCCCCAAAGUUUCUUCUCAGAAAGAGUGUUUGGGCACCAGCACUGCUGCCCAGGGAGGUGGUGGAGUCACCGUACCCGGAGGUGUCCCUGGACAGUGGAGAUGUGGCACUGAGAGAUGUGGUUUGGUGUCAUGGUGGGAAUGGGUUGGGGUUGGACUUGAGGAUCCCAGUGGUCUUCUCCAACCUUAAUAGUUCUGUGAUUCUAUGGCGUAGCUUCUCUCGUGUCUCACAGAUGACCAAGAGGUACCAAUGCGAGGACACAAGGCCAAUCUCACUCCCACCUCCCCUAGCUCUAUCUCUUGUCAUCCAUGGAAAUGUGAUUAUUGACAAGAUCUCUGGCACCAUCAGAGGCAAUCAAAGCCACAACUCAGUUAGCUUUGACUGGAUUGAAAGGUGAGGGAUUGGAGGAGGACGGCGGGGUGGGCUCCACGGCGCGGUCACCCACAGGUGAUGGAGAUGGAUGGGGCCAGGCAUUGCACCUCGCCUUGUGGAGGAUCCCAGGUGGGGUAAUGAGAGCCCAGCCUGCCCUGAGAUGCUUUUAAUUCUUUCUCAUCUUCUGAAAUCAAAUAAAAAUCUGAAGGAGAAACUUUGUCAUCCCAGCAACGGUGGAAAGAAAAAACACAUGCCUGGAGAUGAAAGGGAAUUGUAGAUGGGUAUUUCAUCUCCUGCUCUUGUAAUGAAUGUGAAAACAAGAAAAGAAAGGAGCAAACAAAAAAUCCCAGACGUGGUUAAUGAGCUUUGCAUUUCAAUGCAGCACCGAUGUCACCCUUUGGCUGGUGAUGCUGGGUGGGCAAGCGUUGGGUCAUGGGGAACAGCAGCAGUGUUUACCAAAGAACACAAAGAUGCGUUUGGAGAAGUUUGUUAAAUAUUUUAGUGCAUCCAGUCUCCUCUUCCCCGCCCAUCUACGGACUUACAAAAUGCUUUGCAUAUUUAUUUUAGCAUGCACUAGAUUUAUUUAAAAAUAGCAUCACCAGCACUGGAAACAGCCCACUUGCUUUUCAUCUAGAUCUUGCAUUGAAUCAGUGAAUCCAAAAUUAAACAAGGUUAGGUGAACUAAAUCUAUACAAGGACCUAUUUGCUGAUCAAUAUAGAAAUGGAUGCCUGGGACUUCUUUACCAUGUGAAAUAUGAGGACUUAUGAGAGAGAGAUUGCUUUUGUUAUUACAUUACAAAAAAAAUCAGAUUUAAUCUCCACACAUUAAAAAAAAUAUUUGUUGAAGAGAUGCUCUGCCCUAAAUAAUUCAUGCUGGUUGUAUAGUACCCAGAAGAGAGAAGUUUCCCUUCUUCCAUUCCUAAUGAGGUGGAAAAAGACCUCAAAUAUUUUUCUUGGAUUCAGUUUCAUCGGUGCACGGAGCUGAAACUCCACCUGGAUCUCAGAGCUGGGCUCCUCCAGCACAAAGAGAACCACAAUGUGCUGCUCCAGGAGGGAACGGGACUCCAGCACACCUGGGACCAAACCCACAGCCCUGCAGGGAGCACAGAGCCUUGAGGUCUGCGGGACAGCGAUGGGGACCGAGGAGCCAGCACCCAUUGGAGAGAGGGGAGAAACCAACCCAGCAUGGCCACAGUGGCAUGCUAUGGGACUGGACAGCAGGCAUUUGGGAAAGGGGGUGGUCAGACUUUUAGCCCAGCCUGGGGACAACGCCUGGGGCUUGCCUAGGGAAUGGUGCCAUGCCCAGCUGGGCCCCUUCCCUACAAGCACACUGCAAGAACCGAUCCAUCAAGUGCUGUACCUGUUUUGCUCUGAAUAAAUCUGCAUAUCAGACACUUCCAUGAAUGAAAAAUGCAUGCACCGGUAAAUCAGAGGUGAAAUAACGCAUCACUUGUCAGCACUAUUUCAAUUUUUUUUCCCCACGAGUUUCAUUAAAAAAAGAUGCAUCAUCUG